rnacentral:rRNA from 1 species
UACAGAGGGGGCAAGCGUUGUUCGGAAUUACUGGGCGUAAAGGGCGCGUAGGCGGCCUGUUAAGUCGAACGUGAAAUCCCCGGGCUCAACCCGGGAACUGCGUCCGAUACUGGCAGGCUUGAAUCCGGGAGAGGGAUGCGGAAUUCCAGGUGUAGCGGUGAAAUGCGUAGAUAUCUGGAGGAACACCGGUGGCGAAGGCGGCAUCCUGGACCGGCAUUGACGCUGAGGCGCGAAAGCGUGGGGAGCGAACAGG